UGAUGGAGGAACCAAGACUCUGGAGGACGACAUCACUCCACCAACCAGGAUCCUCACCAGGAAUCUGGAGGACUGAUGGAGAAGCCAUACAUCUGGAAGGCAAAUCCUGAGGACAAGCAGGACUCUACCAUCAGGGUUUCCUCAUAAAUGUGCAUUAUCUGGACAUAGUGGACUAGACACACCUGAGCUGAACCUCACCUGAUCCUGUUUGGUCGGGGGUAG